UAUGUGAUUAGACACAAAGUUUUGCUAUAACAACAAACUGUUAUGUAGAUGUUCCCCGGAGUUGAUCAUGAAUGACAGGCGCAGAUUGUUCAUGCAUUUUUUUUUCCUGCAUUUCAUAACAAAAAUUUAUUAGAAUCAUGCUCACAAUAUUACUACUGCUAUUUGUACCAAAAGAAACUGAUUAUUUGGAUUUUACAGGGUGCGGGUGCUGAAGGUGUUCCAAAGAGGCUAACUUAUGAUGAAAUUCAAAGCAAGACAUAUAUGGAAGUGAAGGGAACUGGAACUGCUAACCAGUGCCCAACCAUUGAAGGUGGAUCUGAAAGCUUCACUUUCAAGGCUGGCAAAUACAAUGCCAAGAAGUUCUGUCUAGAACCUACAUCAUUUACUGUGAAAGCUGAGAGUGUAGGAAAGAACGGCCCAC
rnacentral:lncRNA from 1 species